rnacentral:tRNA from 1 species
UAUAUAAAAGCUAACCAGCUUGUUAUUGUUACUAACACUAUUGAUUUAUAAUCUUAUAUAU